GACGAACGCUGGCGGCGUGCUUAACACAUGCAAGUCGAACGGAAAGGCCCUGCUUUUGUGGGGUGCUCGAGUGGCGAACGGGUGAGUAACACGUGGGUAACCUGCCCUUGACUUUGGGAUAACUUCAGGAAACUGGGGCUAAUACCGGAUAGGAGCUCCUGCUGCAUGGUGGGGGUUGGAAAGUUUCGGCGGUUGGGGAUGGACGCGCGGCUUAUCAGCCUGUUGGUGGGGUAGUGGCUUACCAAGGCUUUGACGGGUAGCCGGCCUGAGAGGGUGACCGGCCACAUUGGGACUGAGAUACGGCCCAGACUCCUACGGGAGGCAGCAGUGGGGAAUAUUGCACAAUGGGCGGAAGCCUGAUGCAGCAACGCCGCGUGCGGGAUGACGGCCUUCGGGUUGUAAACCGCUUUCGCCUGUGACGAAGCGUGAGUGACGGUAAUGGGUAAAGAAGCACCGGCUAACUACGUG
rnacentral:rRNA from 1 species